UCACUCACUCACUUACACACUUGACUACGGUAGUUUUCGGCAGUCUCCGACAACAAUUAAGUUUCGAUCUUGGGUUAAAUCGUCUAUUAGACUUAACAAGUACUGUAUGUUUACUCAGAGCUUUUUAAUUUUGGACAAAUCCUAAAUUUUUACUUUUUUUCAUUUCUUAGAAUUGUGAUUUGGGGUUUGUAGAGGGACGCGUACAUGUGCAUUUACAAAUUUCGAUUUGGUGUGGGUGAUAUAUUUCCUUGUUCAACUACCUUUGAGCUCUGUAAUUUAAAUUAUUGUCAGUCUGGC
rnacentral:lncRNA from 1 species